CUUCAUUAGUAUCUUUUGUGAUUUCCUUUUUUUGUGGUUCAUUCAUAAAGUCCAUUCUAUAUAUUUAUUUAUUGGUGGGAAAAUAAGGGAAGAAGUGGGAAAAUAUGAAAUCAAACCAUUUACUUGCAGUUUCUGCCUGCAGUCUCAUUCAAAGGCAAAUCUAUUGUGAGUGUAGCUGGAAUUAUCACUUAAAGAUCUGUCCUUGCAUUUAUUUACUAAACAUUAAACUACAUAAAAUGUAAACCAAAUGGCAAAUUUCAGGCUAAAGUAGCCUAGCUUAGUUGUCAGAUAUUCCGAAAAUUACUAUUUUGUCCUAAAUUUUAAAUCUCUUUUCCAUUUUACUUGUUAAAAGCCUGAUUUGAUAAAUAGUAUUGUAAUCUUCUGCUUAUGAGUUCGUCAUCUCUCUUAAUUUUUAAUUGCCAGAUAUACGCUGUAGAUUUGUUCUUACAUAGGCCUGAUAAGACACUGCUAUGUAGGAACGUCUAGGAAUGACACAUACAUAAAUCGUAAUAACGAAAUGUAUAGACACAUUAUAUCUCACGAAUACCUUCCAUGUAUAUUUUUUUUAACAUAUAGGAUUUGAAGUAUAACCUACAAUUCCAAGACUGUUGUCAUUUCUGAGUAACAAUAUGUAAAUAUGUGGAAGAAUUAAAAAAAAAUAAAAAAACCCAACAAAAUGGAUUAAAACCAGUAACUAUUUACCAUGUAAGAUGUAUGAGUUGAUGGGAUCACACUUAUAACACUUAUCACUCUCUUUAAUUUUUGUAAGGCUGUUUGGGAAGCAGCACACUUUCUCGGCUCCUUUCCACACCCCGCCGCCGCACAGAGCGCACCGUGCAUGCGUGACCACAUCAUGAUGCCCCACUUUCGCUGUCUGAAGCGCAGUAUGAUCUCUCGACCAC